rnacentral:lncRNA from 1 species
UUUUUUUUUUUUUUUUUUUUUUACAUUUUGCUACCUCUAGGCAAUAAUAAUCUCAUUUUUAAUUUACAAUCCUUUGGUUUUUUUAGUGGCUAGAGCAUUAGUCAUAUAUUUACGGGCCAUUUUUACAUCUGUGUACUAUCCAUUUAUCUUUUGCACAUUUUUUAAAACUUGGUUAUGUUUUUAGUUGGUUGAUAGAACAAUAAUUUUCUAACUAAGAAUUCUUUAAAUAAUAACUAAUACAUAGCUUUCUAUGCACCUGGCACUGUUCUGGGUUCCUGACAAACUUCACAGCAUUGACUCAAAGCCCUGAGAGGUGGUCACAGCAGUCCAUGUUUAUAGCCAAGGAAAGGGAGGCUCAGAGAUGUCAAGUAACUUGUUUGAGGUCACACAGGUCAGAUAAGAACACGCCAGAGUCUUAAGGACUAGCUAAGCUAACCACAUCAUCACCAAUUAGUUGUUUCUGAAGCCUUCCCACAUAUCCCUUGCCAUCUAAUCCACAGAGAAAGAAAAUUCUCCCUUAAAAUUUCCCUCUCUGUUAUUUAUCCUUUGCUUUAUUUGCAGAGUCUUUAAGAGAGUAUUAUUCUCAUAUGCCAGGAAAGGAAACUGAAGUCCAGUUUCUGACGAGAGGUUAUCACAGCAUGAAAUUGGCCCCUAACCCCGACAUGCUUGGGGACGUGCCUGGAGGAGUGAGGAGCGGGAUUUGGGAUGGGGCAGGAUUUACGCAUGGGGCCGAGGAUCAGGGAAAGUGGAAGCUGAGGCAGGGCCCGGGAUGGGAAGAGUUUUAAAGAGCAGGCCAGGCAGUCUACAGGACUCACCCCAUGAGCAACGUGGAGCGGUGAAAGGCUGGGAUCAGGAGUCAGGUGAAGAUCGGCCUAGUGAGAAAUCAUCAUCAAAUCAGAGGGUGUCCCACCUCACUGGGCAUUUCCACGGACCAGGCACACUGACCAGUGAAGAAGCCUGCCCUGCGGGGUAACAAACACACCUGUGUCCAUGCAGGUGCUGGCAACUCCGCGUGUGAAAGCUAGGUUUGACAAAAGGGUUUUUGGUCUUUAGCGGCAUUUUAAAAUAAGGUUAUUUUUUAGCUCCUAAACACCAACGUCACAUGUGGGUUUCUGGGUUACAAACCCACCAUUGAUCUGUCACAUGAGCUUGGUUACCCUCGUCUCAAUAAGCACACACAAUACUUCUGCCUCCCAUGAGCACCGCACGUAGGGAAGGGAGAAGGAUCAUUUGCAUGCCAUUUUUCUUCUGAGGAAAAAAGAAAUUAAGCUAACAAAGUGGGAAAAAAUGUGAGAAACUGACAUGCUGAAACUAACACGCAGAAAUAAGUUUUGAGUCACUGUUGAUUCACGUUAAUUUUUUUAGCUUUGACCUCAGAUAACCUUAGCAUUUCCCCAAAUGUUUUUCUGUGGAACUCUUUUCCAGCUACUCUGUGUGUGUCUAAAUGUGUGUGUGUGCGCGUGUGUGUGUAUGAAACAUAUAUAUACAUUUGUUCUCUGAUCAAUUAAUCUUAAAAAAUUGCACAUAGUACCCACCUCUACACACACACUCACGUUCACAACCCUCACACAUACACACUAUUUUGCAGAUACCCAAUGCACUUUUGCAUAUUAAAGACUGAGAAUUCCUACAGGAUAAGGAUCUUUAUUGGCCAUUGGACUUUCAUUUUCUCCCUGUAACACAUUUUUAGACCCCAUGACACUUGUGGUCUACAAACACACCAUGGGAAAAGCUGGACUGCUUUAUUUCAUAAGAUCAGAGCUUGCUUAAAAUAAAGAGCCCAGAUAUCCUACCCUUUUAAAAAACAGAUGGGUUCUAAUCAACCCAUGAUAAUGAUGGUUUCCUGCCCACCUGGGCAUCUUGCGCCUCUCCUAGAUUUCAGGGUGACACCAAAUGUUCGCAAGCCAAGGCAAGAAACCGUUAGGAGGCCAGGUGUCCCGGACAGGCUGAGCUGUGUGGUUCAGCAGUUGCUGGGUGGGCCUGGAUCAAUCCCUUGCUCAGUGGCUUUCAGCCCAAGGGUCCCCAGAGACUCACCUAAGCCAACUCACUUGUUUUGUGAAUGGAGAAUGAGGCACUAAGCCCCUAAAUCCCCUGGCCCCUGUUCUCUUUCAUCCACUCCAUGAGACACCUCUCCCUGGGCCUAAAUGUUUUCUACUGCGAAAGAAAAUCAGAUCACCUUUAAAGCUUUUCCAGCCCUCUGACUCUUCUGACUCUGUUCUCCUUGCACCUACUCCUUCCCAGCUAUCAGUCACUGCAAUUCAUUAUAUAGAUAUAUGGUCACAUGAUAUAGCUCUACAAGUAAAACCGUGUUUCUGUCUGUUAUAGCAUCGAGUGAAAUUGAGUUGGUGAACCUUCACCAAAUACAAAGGGCAUACUUGGCAUAGGUUAAAAUGUAAGUUAUACGGUAUACAUGAAAUUCACUUGGGGGCAGUCCCUGGGGGAGACAUCUCCAACAGAAAAUUCCUCUGCCAGUGUUGUUACAGGCACUGGUUUAUAAUUUUGCUCCUUCUCACACAGGCAACUCGGGAUAGUAUGCUCGGGGUGACCAGUAGCAGAGAUUUAAUUACUUACUGACUCUUUAUGGCUUUCCUAAGCAAUCCAGAGGAGGACAGCUAGUGGAAGUGUAUGUGGAUUCAUUCAUUUAUUUUUAAAUAAAAUGUUCAUUUUGGAAUAGUUUUAGAUUGACAGAAAAGUUGCAAAGAUAGAACAGAGACCCCAUAUAUCUUCUACCCAGUUUCCUUUCAUGUGAACAUCUUACAUAACAGGUAUAUUUGUCAAAACUAAGACAUUAACAUUGGUACAUUACUAGUAACUAUUUCACCGGUUUUUUCACUAAUGUCCUUUUUCUGUUCCAGAAUUCAUGCCAGUAUAGAACAUGGUAUUUAGUUGUCAUGCCUUCUUCAUCUGUGGAUUUAUUAUUGUUUUCAAGAAAUAGAUACCAUUCUCUACUGCAUGCAAGGGGGUAUGCUGGGUACUGUGGUGGAUCCCAGCUGCCCUGCAGGGAGAAACACGGUGUCCAGUGGACAGCAAGUCUGGGCUUGAGUGUCCACUCUGCCCCUCAUUUCUGAUACAGUCCUGGGCUUGUCACCCCACAUCUAGAAUUCUCAGGUUCCUCAACCGCAGUCUGGAGAUAAUACCUUCCAGCUUGUGACAGAGCUGAAUGAGACGGUCUACAUGGAAAGACAUUUUGAAGGCUUAAAGCCCUAUCCCAUGUGGCUCACUAUUAUUAUUAUUAUUAAUGUUGCUGUAACGAUUAUCAUUAAGCAGACUUGAUACACUGUUUCCAAAGCAGGACAGCCCAGAGACUGAGCUGUCUGACCGAGCUGACCCUUCCAGCUUCAAAUGAGAUGUUUCCAUAGACCUCCAUGUGCCCCGUAGAGAAAGGAAAUUUUCCUUAGUCUGUUCAGUUCUAUAGUUCCUUUACGGCUCCACUCAUGGGACAUCGUAUCAGUGACACCUUCUCUGACCAUCCUACAGAAAAGAGCCUCUGAGGCCGGGCCUGGAGGCUCAUGCCUGUAAUCCCAGCACUUUGGGAGGCCGAGGUGGGCAGAUCACUUGAGGUCAGGAGUUCAAGACCAGCCUGGCCAACAUGGUGAAACCCUGUCUCUACUAAAUAUACAAAAAGUAGCCAGGCGUGGUGGCGGGUGCCUGUAAUCCCAGCUACUUGGGAUGCUAAGGUGAGAGAAUCACUUGAAUCCAGAAGGUUGUAGUGAGCAGGGAUUGUGCCAUUGCACUCCAGCCUGAGUGACAGAGCGAGACUCCAUCUCAAAAAAAAAAAAAAAAAAAAAAGAGAGAGAAAGUGAGAGAGAAAAGAGCCCCUGAAUCCCUCCCCAUGGCAUUCUCUAACUUCCCACCCUGCUUCAUGCUUCUCCACGGCACUGACCCCCAUCUGACACAUUCCCUAUUGCCGUGUUCCUUUGUUCACGAUUGGCCUCUCUCCACCAGUUUAUGAGCUGCCUGAGAGCCCCAAUUGUGGUCUGUUUUGGUCACUGCUGUACCCCAGUGCCUAGAGCAGCCCCUGACAUAUAGUGAGGGCUCAACAGAUGUCUGCUAAAUAAAUGACUAUAUGUUUGGUUUUACUCUGUAAUCUCUUGCCUCCACCCUGGUAACUUGAAAACAACUCUUUACACCUAAACAUACUGUUGAAUUCAAAUAAGAGCAAAGCUCUUUGGCUCAGAGCCCUUUGGGUCUUCUUUAAGAAAAAAAAAUAGGGUAAUGCCUUUCUUUUAAUUUAAUUUAAUGUCAUUAACGUUUCUUUGCUUGCCCUCUCUCCCAUAAGUGGCUCUGCCAAUUAGAAACCACAGUCUCUUCCUUGUCCAGAGCCUGUCUGCUGGCUUCCUCACACAAUCAAUUCCAACAGAGUCCAGGCUAGAAAAAGCUGGUAAAAUCCCCACACCCCCACACGCAGCCAGUUCACUUCCUUACUGUAUUCACUCAGCACUUGCACAUCAAAGGCCUAUGGACUUCUCAGAGCAGGAAGAAACCCAGGGGAUCCCGCAGGCCAGCCUGCAGCUGAGGACACUGUGGUUCAGACAGGGGAGGGAACUGGCAAAUGACACACAGUACUUAGAGGCAGUUCC